CUACACAAGGUCAGUAAUCACCCUCGUCUUACAUUUUGCUUUCGGUUUCUGGAAAUAAGAAUAUAGUUUUGUGUCGUUAUCUCAAUUUUGCCAAUCUAAAUUCGUUUAGUUAUAAAAAAAAAUGUUAGUAAAGAUUUGUGGUCAAUGAGAGGGACUGUUGAUUUACCAAUCUGAUUAUGUGUGUGUUUUUAUUUCUCUAAAUGUAAAUGCUGCCUCUUAGAUGUAUUUUGUACACAAACUAAUUUCAGGCAGUAAACUUAAGUCGAAUCGAUGUUCUGUCAUCUAUAUAAUUGAAAUCGAUUCACUAUUCUUGUUUGAAAUCUUUACAUGUUCAUGUAACUAAGAGUGUAAUGUUAUGAGAUUAAAGGUCGAGUUGAGAAGUUUACUCUCUGUUUGAACUUUAGCUACCAUGAUUACGAUUUGAUCAGUAAAUCAAUGAUAUGGUCUGCCGAUCAAGUAUAUGCUUUGUCACGAUAAUUUGAUGGCUUGUUCCAAUACAUCCGACUCUAUGUACAAUGUAUUGCUGCUAUUUCCUUUAUAUUUUUAACCAUGAAACAACUUGAGAUGUUGUUAAGAUAAUUCAUAUACAUUUGUGGAAAUCAAAAUGUUUGGCAUUUGCUAUCUUUGACAUGUUCUGUUCCUUUUUUUUCUCAUAUGGAUCAGGGCUCAUUUCUUUUAGAAAAUAACUAGUACAUAUUGUGCUCUUCUUUGGCUUACUUCAUUAUUUAAUGUUACAUAUAUUGAGCUUGUAGGAAUGCAUCUCCAAAGAUUUCUUUUUCGUUAAAAAUCAGAUGUCAUGUUGGGAUCAGUCACGUGGGCAGCCAUGUCCAAAGUUAGCUCGAACUCUUUUCAUAAUUUUUCUAAGUGACGACCAUCCAUAUAUAGAUAUGAUCGUAUUUGUUAGGACUAUCUCUUAAGACGAAUAGUCAUAAAGUGUUUCAACAAAUUUGUCGCUAUAUGUUUAGCUUCUCAAAUCUUGGUUGUGUCUUAAUAAUAAUUUCUCUCUCGUAAGAUAAAAGGAAAUAGCUAAAGGCCUGGUGUUCUUUCCCAAAAAUUA
rnacentral:lncRNA from 1 species